rfam:Poecilia formosa, whole genome shotgun sequence.
ACCAGGAUGGCCAAGUGGUUAAGGCGUUGGAGUUAAGCUCCAAUGGGUGUAAGCCCUUGUGGGUUCAAACUCUACUCCUGGUA